rnacentral:tRNA from 1 species
GGGGGCAUAGCUCAGUGGCACAGUGAUUACUUAGCAUGCAUGAGGUCCUGGGUUCAGUCCCCAGUGCCUCCA